rnacentral:rRNA from 1 species
GACGUAGGGUGCGAGCGUUGUCCGGAAUUAUUGGGCGUAAAGAGCUCGUAGGCGGCUUGUCGCGUCGACCGUGAAAACUUGGGGCUCAACCCCAAGCCUGCGGUCGAUACGGGCAGGCUAGAGUUCGGUAGGGGAGACUGGAAUUCCUGGUGUAGCGGUGAAAUGCGCAGAUAUCAGGAGGAACACCGAUGGCGAAGGCAGGUCUCUGGGCCGAUACUGACGCUGAGGAGCGAAAGCGUGGGGAGCGAACAGG